GUCUACAGCCAAAACACCCUGAACGUGCCCAAUCUGAUCUGAUCUCAGAAGCUAAGCAGGGUCAGGUCUGGUUAGCACUUGGAUGGCAGGAAGAUCAGUCCCUUCAGUGGGACACCAAGGUUUAUGCUCUGGGUU
ensembl:rRNA 5S_rRNA 5S ribosomal RNA